AGCGAACGCUGGCGGCAGGCUUAACACGUGCAAGUCGAGCGGACCUUUCGGGGUCAGCGGCGGACGGGUGAGUAACGCGUGGGAACGUGCCUUCCGGUUCGGAAUAACCCUGGGAAACUAGGGCUAAUACCGGAUACGCCCUUAUGGGGAAAGGUUUACUGCCGGAAGAUCGGCCCGCGUCUGAUUAGCUAGUUGGUGGGGUAACGGCCUACCAAGGCGACGAUCAGUAGCUGGUCUGAGAGGAUGAUCAGCCACACUGGGACUGAGACACGGCCCAGACUCCUACGGGAGGCAGCAGUGGGGAAUAUUGGACAAUGGGCGCAAGCCUGAUCCAGCCAUGCCGCGUGAGUGAUGAAGGCCUUAGGGUUGUAAAGCUCUUUUAUCCGGGACGAUAAUGACGGUACCGGAGGAAUAAGCCCCGGCUAACUUCGUG
rnacentral:rRNA from 1 species